UACAGAGGUCCCGAGCGUUGUUCGGAUUCAUUGGGCGUAAAGGGUGCGUAGGUGGUGAGGAAAGUCGGAUGUGAAAUCUCCGGGCUUAACCCGGAAAUGGCAUUGGAAACUACCUUGCUAGAGGUUUUGAGGGGGGACUGGAAUUCUCGGUGUAGCAGUGAAAUGCGUAGAUAUCGAGAGGAACACCGGUGGCGAAAGCGAGUCCCUGGAAAACACCUGACACUGAGGCACGAAAGCUAGAAAAGCAAACAGG
rnacentral:rRNA from 1 species